GGAAGCGAAUAAGAGCGUGCGGGGGAUGCCUUGGCUCCCGGGGGCGACGAAGGACGCGGUAAGCUGCGAAAAUUUACGGGGAGUUGCAAACUAGCGUUGAUCCGUAAGUGUCCGAAUGGGGCAACCCAUGCCGAUGAAGUCGGCAAGACAAUAGUCGCUAACCCUCUGAACUGAAACAUCUAAGUAGGAGGAGGAAAAGAAAACAAAAGUGAUUCCGUAAGUAGUGGCGAGCGAACGCGGAGAAGGCCAAACCAGUGAGCGUGCUCACUGGGGUUGUAGGGUCGCGAUGUGGGAUUGAUUAAUUUUUAGCGGAAGCAUUUGGAAAGAUGCGCCAUAGCGGGUGAUAGCCCCGUACGCGAAAGAGAUUGUCACCUUAGCGAUACCCUGAGUAGGGCGGGGCUGGAGAAACCCUGUCUGAAUCUGGCGGCACCAUCCGCCAAGCCUAAAUACCACCGGGAGACCGAUAGUGAACCAGUACCGUGAGGGAAAGGUGAAAAGAACCCUGAGCAAGGGAGUGAAAAGACCCUGAAACCGCACGCUUACAAGCGGUAGGAGCUAUAGUAAUAUAGUGACUGCGUGCCUUUUGCAUAAUGAGCCUACGAGUUACUCCUGUCUGGCAGCCUAAGUACUUCAGGUACGGAAGCAUAGCGAAAGCGAGUCUUAACAGGGCGUUAGUCAGGCGGGGUAGACGCGAAACCGAGUGAUCUAUCCAUGGGCAGGUUGAAGGUGCGAUAGUCUCGCACUGGAGGACCGAACCGGUAAGUGUUGAAAAACUUUCGGAUGACCUGUGGAUAGGGGUGAAAGGCCAAUCAAACUCGGAGAUAGCUCGUACUCCCCGAAAUGCAUUUAGGUGCAGCGUCGUGCAAUAUGUGCUGGAGGUAAAGCUACUGAGAAGGCUAGGGGGCUUCACCGCCUACCAACCCUUAACAAACUCUGAAUGCCAUCACAUAGUAACGGCAGUGAGCCCCGGGGUGCGAAGGUCACGGGGCGAGAGGGGAACAACCCAGACCAACAGUUAAGGUCCCUAAGUCUAGCUAAGUUGCGAGAACGAGGUGGGAAUGCAGUGACAGCCAGGAUGUUUGCUUGGAAGCAGCAAUUCAUUCAAAGAGUGCGUAACAGCUCACUGGUCGAGCGUUCCUGCGCGGAAAAUAAGCGGGCAUCAAGCUAGGCACCGAAACUUUGGAUUCGAAAGAGUGGUAGGGGAGCAUUCUGCGGGGCUGAAGCAGUGGCGUGAGCCAAUGUGGACUUAGCAGAAAAGCAAAUGUAGGCAUAAGUAACGAUAAAUGAUGUGGAAAACAUCAUCGCCGUAAGACCAAGGGUUCCUGAUCUACGUUAAUCGGAUCAGGGUGAGCCGGGUCCUAAGGAUAAGCCGAAAGGCGAAGCCGAUGGAAAAUGGGUUAAGAUUCCCAUGCCAGCGUGAAUUGUGAAACAGGGACGGAGAGCAGGAGGUACCGCGUACUGACGGAAUAGUACGUUAAAGCGUAAGCGAUAGUACACCAAUCUCUUUGGAGAGCGGUGAUAGUGUACUGAAUAAUCUUCCAGGAAAAGCUGUUGAAACAUCAGGUUCAUGCUGCCCGUACCGUAAACCGACACAGGUGGUCGAGGAGAGCAUCCUCAGGCGCUCGAGUGAUUCGUGGCUAAGGAACUAGGCAAAAUAGUCUCGUAACUUCGGAAGAAGAGACGCCAGCAGUAAUGCUGGCCGCAGUGAAGAGGCCCAGGCGACUGUUUAUCAAAAACACAGGACUCUGCUAAAUCGAAAGAUGCUGUAUAGGGUCUGACACCUGCCCGGUGCUGGAAGGUUAAGGAAGGUGCUUAGAGGUAACUCGAAGGCAUUAACUGAAGCCCCAGUAAACGGCGGCCGUAACUAUAACGGUCCUAAGGUAGCGAAAUUCCUUGUCGGGUAAGUUCCGA
rnacentral:rRNA from 1 species